rnacentral:sRNA from 1 species
AUGGCAGCAGCCGGUUUGGGUGGAGCGAAACCGGAAGCGGCAAAAACGUCGGCUCCCUCUGGUAAGGCAGCUCAGCCGGAAUGGGCGGAACCUUUUGCAGGGAAAGGAAAGA